UAGUUUAGUGGUUACAACAUUGAUACGUAAAGCCAAAGAUCCCGGGUUCGAUUCCCGG
rnacentral:tRNA from 1 species